rnacentral:rRNA from 1 species
AUUGAACGCUGGCGGCAUGCUUUACACAUGCAAGUCGGGCGGCAGCGCGGGGGCAACCCUGGCGGCGAGCGGCGAACGGGUGAGUAACACAUCGGAACGUGCCCAAUCGUGGGGGAUAACGUAGCGAAAGCUACGCUAAUACCGCAUACGAUCUACGGAUGAAAGCGGGGGAUCGCAAGACCUCGCGCGAAUGGAGCGGCCGAUGGCAGAUUAGGUAGUUGGUGGGGUAAAAGGCUCACCAAGCCGACGAUCUGUAGCUGGUCUGAGAGGACGACCAGCCACACUGGGACUGAGACACGGCCCAGACUCCUACGGGAGGCAGCAGUGGGGAAUUUUGGACAAUGGGCGCAAGCCUGAUCCAGCCAUUCCGCGUGCAGGAUGAA